rnacentral:rRNA from 1 species
UACGUAGGGUGCAAGCGUUAAUCGGAAUUACUGGGCGUAAAGCGUGCGCAGGCGGUUUUGCAAGACAGAGGUGAAAUCCCCGAGCUUAACUUGGGAACUGCCUUUGUGACUGCAUAGCUAGAGUGUGUCAGAGGGGGGUAGAAUUCCACGUGUAGCAGUGAAAUGCGUAGAGAUGUGGAGGAACACCGAUGGCGAAGGCAAUCCCCUGGGCCUGCACUGACGCUCAUGCACGAAAGCGUGGGGAGCAAACAGG